rnacentral:rRNA from 1 species
UGGGGAAUAUUGGACAAUGGGCGCAAGCCUGAUCCAGCCAUGCCGCGUGUGUGAAGAAGGCCUUUUGGUUGUAAAGCACUUUAAGUGAGGAGGAGGCUACUUGGAUUAAUACUCUAGGAUAGUGGACGUUACUCGCAGUAUAAGCACAGGCUAACUCUGUGCCAGCAGCCGCGGUAAUACAGAGGGUGCGAGCGUUAAUCGGAUUUACUGGGCGUAAAGCGUGCGUAGGCGGCUUCUUAAGUCGGAUGGGAAAUCCCUGAGCUGAACUUAGGUAUUGCAUUCGAUACUGGGAAGCUAGAGUAUGGGUGAGGGUGGUAGGAGUCCAGGUGUAUGUGUUAAAUGCGUAGGGAUCUGGAGGGAUACCGAUGGCUAAGGAAGGCAUCUGGCCGAAUACUUACGCUGACGUACGAAAGCAUGGGGAGCGAACAGG